UAUUGUAAUGGGGUGCCACAGAUGUCCCAACAUAUAAGAACACCACAGCUAGGAUUGGUCAUACUGGGGAGAGUAAUUCAUAUUGAAUUAUCAUUUGGUAAUUGUUUUAGUUAAAGAAAAUUGUCAUGAAGAACUAAGUAUAAACUAAUAUACAGUCACAGCCUCUAGGGGUAACAUGUUGAAAAACUGACAAAAGCCCAACCGGGCGCUGAGAUCCGAGUGGAUCAAACAGGAAAACCACUCCAGAAACCAUCAGCAGGUCAGGUGAGGACUGAAACAUGGUGCCGAGCGCCAAUCAGAUCUGGAACUGGAGGCAGGAAACAAAAGAAAAAUGGACGGCAGUUGGCUGCGUCCAGGCGAUGCAUUAUCCAUGUUCGAUCGAUCUGCUAAUCGAGAUGGCUUUUGCCAUUGGACAGUCAUCCGCUCGUGUGUAUUUCACCCUGCAGAAAAGGGGGCAGCAGGGCGCAAGAUGUGCGGAGAACAGGCACAGGAUGAAAGGAGAGGAGGGGUAAAAACAGAGGAUGGCUAAGAGGAAAGAAUGGAUUACAACCACCAGAUUGACGAUGCACAUGGUUGUCCAACAAGAUUGGAUAGAAGUGUGCCCCAUGGAUGAACUAGGACCAGCCAUGCUCGGUCUAGUAGAGCUUUUUGGCAAAUUGAGACCAGAAUUUGUACCGUGGAUAUAUUCCCUGUGAAUCGUGGGACCAUCGGACAUUGUACAAGGAUGCUUGGUGAGCUGCAUGAGGAAAAGAUGGGAGGAGAAUCGCAAGCACAUAAAUGAAUAAUAAAUCGAUCUGGUAAUGUGCAGGAAGCGAAUGUAGCAAAAACAAGUACAGAAACAGACCAUUUGGAGCCUUACACCUCCUCGGUUACCCACGUUUACUAAUAGGAAAAAAAGUACAAAUUACCCCCACGAACUAUGGCGGUCGUCCAAAUUACCCCUCUGAACCAUAAAACCGGACAUUCUUCACCCCCCAACUAUGCAAACCGGACGAAUUACCCCCCUCGACCCAAUCCACGAUGGUUUUGGUCUACAUGGCAUACGCGUGGCAGUCCAGUCAGCAUUUUAUUUAUUAAAAAAAUGUAGGACCCACCUGUCAUACUCAUAUUCCACUAUUCCUCUCUCUCUUCUCUCUCUUACUCUUCUCCUCUCUCUCUCUCUCCUCUCACUGUCAACUACGCAAGCGGCGGACAGAGGAGGCGAGGCGAGGCAGCGACGGCUGAGGAGGCGGCGGCGGCGGCUAGGCGAGCGGCGGCUAGGCGAGCGGCAGCUAGGUGGCGAGCGGCGGCGGCUCGAGGCGUGCGACCGGCGGUGAUGGGUGGACGCGGAGGCGGACUAGGCGGCUAGCGGCGGAGGCACCCUGGCGGAGCUCUCUCGGACGGCCGAUGACAGAGGCGGAGGCGGAGGCGGAGCGUGCGUCCGGUGGCGGAAGAGAAGGGGGAGUGUCGGAGCGAGCGGCCGGGAGCCUGCCGCCCCAAGCUCCGUCUGCGCGGAGGAGGCGAGCGCGGUCGGCGUAGGCGGUUGGCGAGGUGAGGACGGCGGCGCGUGGGGGGCGAAGGACGGCGGCGGCCGGCGACGGAGGCGGAGGCUGACCGGGCGCGCGGUGGGCGGCGGGCUCCUCCUCCACGUCGUGGGCGCGCGGUGGGCGGCAGCGUGCAGGAACGCGUGGUGGGCCACCGCCGCCACCGCGGGCUCCUCCUCCUCGUCGGCGCGCGGAGGGCUCACCGCCGACCGAAGUCGCGCCCGUGGCCGUUCGCCCUGCCGCUCGUCUUCAACCGCCCGCCCCCGCCCCCGUAGGCCCGCCUCCGCACGCUGCGUGCGCCGCCGUGCGCCGUCGUGCGCGCCACCGCGAGGGAUUGCGGCCGACCGCCACGACAAGCAGCCGCCCCUGGCGCGGGGACGGAUGGAGGCGGGUGCGGGCGGCGGCGCGGGACGCGGAGACGGAGGUUGAGGCGGCGGCUGGCUCUCGGGUUCCGCUUCUACCCAACAGAGGAGGAGCUGAUAUGCUUCUACCUCCGCAACAAGCUCGACGGCCUCCACGACGACAUCGAGUGCGUCAUCCCCGUCUUCGACAUCUACUCCGUCGACCCGUUGCAGCUCUCAGAGAUUCACCACGAGAUGCUGGGCAGCAGCGGCGAGGAGGGGGAGCCGUGGUUCUACUUCUGCCCGCGGCAGGAGCGGGAGGUGCGGGGCGGGCGACCGAGCUGGACCACGCCGUCGGGGUCCUGGAAGGCGGUGGGCACGCCGGGGGUCGUCUAAUCCGCGCAGCCGUGGCCGCACGCCGUCGGGAACCAAGACCGCGUGGAAGAUGAUGAGAGAGAGAGGGAGGAAGAUGGGAAGAUGAGGUCUUACAGGUGGCCCCCACCAUUUUUAAAAAAGAAAAUGUUGAUCGGAUUUCCACCUCAACGCCAUGUAUAUGCCACGUAGGAUCAAUACCACUUCAUAUUGAGUGAGGGGGGUAAUUUAUCCAGUUUCAAUAGUUUGAGGUCUAAUAUGUCUGGUUUUGUGGUUCGGGGGGUAAUUCGGACCACCACGAUAGUUCAGAGGGUAAUUCGUACUUUUAUAGAUAAAAACAGCUUGUUAAAGAACAAGAAUUAAUUUAUAGAUAAACUUUUUAUAGAAA